GGUUCUAUGGUGUAGCGGUUAGCACUUCGGAUUCUGAUUGAGGUUCCACCUCACUACAGAACAUUCCGACAACCCCGGUUCGAGUCCGGGUAGGACCU
rfam:Chaetomium thermophilum var. thermophilum DSM 1495 unplaced genomic scaffold scf7180000011806, whole genome shotgun sequence.